rnacentral:rRNA from 1 species
UACGGAGGGUGCAAGCGUUGUCCGGAUUUACUGGGUUUAAAGGGUGCGUAGGUGGUUAAGUAAGUCAGUGGUGAAAUCUUCGGGCUUAACCCGGAAACUGCCAUUGAUACUAUUUUUCUUGAAUACUUUGGGGGUAAGCGGAAUAUGUCAUGUAGCGGUGAAAUGCUUAGAUAUGACAUAGAACACCAAUUGCGAAGGCAGCUUACUACACAGUAAUUGACACUGAGGCACGAAAGCGUGGGGAACAAACAGG